GCUAUGGCAGCAGCAGUGCAAGAAGCAAUCCACCUUAGAGCACUAAUGGAAGAUUUUGGUUAUCCUAUAAAAGAACCAACCGAUAUUGGAGAAGAUAAUCAGCGUGUAUCAAGAUGUGUCAUAAUCCAGUAAUGCACAAACGAUCGAAACACAUCGAUACAAAAUUACAUUUCAUCCGAGAAAGAGUUGAAAACGAAGAAGUAGGAAUCCACCACAUCCCAACUGAAGAGAUGACAGCAGACAUUUUAACAAAGUC